GCCUCAUCACGGGGGAUCACUAUUGGAAACGAUCACUCAUACCGCAUCAGAGUGAUUCACACAUGUUCAUUAUUUCAAAGGAGCAAUUGCUUCACUGUGAGAUGGACCUGCGUUGUAUUAGCUCAUUGGUGAGGUCAAGGCUCACCAAGGCGACGAUACAUCACCGACCUGAGAGGGUGAUCGGCCACACUGGGACUGAGACACGGCCCAGACUCCUACGGGAGGCAGCAGUCAGGAAUCUUCGGCAAUGGACGGAAGUCUGACCGAGCAACGCCGCGUGAGUGAAGAAGGUUUUCGGAUCGUCAAGCUCUGUUGUUCAAGAAGAACGU
rnacentral:rRNA from 1 species